AGUGUUAGAAGAGGAGAACAAGGGGGUUAGGGGGUUGGAAUAUAGCCCCAAGAAGCGACCAUAACUUUAUGAUUGCUUUUGUAUUGCCCGCUGCGUAUUGGGCCCAAAAACGCGACAUUGGGGCCGGGAGAUAAAAUCAACAGCUCCAGCUACCGCUACGGCUACAGUGGGAAAUGGCCAAUGAUGGACUCUUCCGGUUAAUCCGGGAAACACUUUUAUUUUGAAUAUUAUUUUAUUGGGACAUUUAUUGGGAUAUUUAUUGGAGAGCAUUACAAGUGUUCCAUUGGGAGGGGGAGUAUAAGAUGCACUGGCUGCACUUGCGCUCUUUUCCACACUGUCUCAGCCUCUGCUGGCAGCUGUACCUGCGCUCCCUUUCACACCUGCUCUCCCACCCAAUCAUAUUUUAACCUAUAAUAUGCGCUCUUAUACACUCCCACUCUGUCUCUGCCAGCGCUUUCAAGAUCAGACUCUGCUCCCGCUGCAACUGUGCUCCCUUUCACACCUGCUUUCCCACCCACUUGUAGCGAGAGCUGGCUGCACGUGCGCUCUCAUUUACCCCACUCUACCUCUGCCGGCUUUUAGAGAGAGAUGCGCUCGCUGCACCUGCUCUCCCACUCAUACCUGCUCUCCCACCUCUGCCUGCGCUUUCAGCUUAUUGGAGUUAUCCUCUCAUUUGGCGCAUCCUACCACGCUCGCCAUUCGCGCAAUGCUGCUCGUGCGCUCCGGUUUAAUAAAAAGUGAUCGCGGAAGUGUGUGUUCUAGUUUUUAAAUAAUUAUUUAAUUUGUGUUUCUAUUUUCUAGUGAUUUUAAAGACUAUUUAAGAUUGCUUUAAGGAUUUCUCUUCUAGCUCGCGUGUGUGUAAGUGCGUUUGUGUUUGGAGGAGAGACGCCGGCCAAGGAGUCCCCAACGCAAAGAACCGUUAACUGAAAACAGAAAAUAACAUGAGAAUGUGGAGAAAAGAAAAGAAAGAAAAUAAAUAUGUAAUUCAUCUAAUGGAAGUACAGUCAUAACGAUUACCGCAGAAAAUUGAGGCCAGCAGAAAAUCAAAGCCUAAAAUAAAAAUGGAAGGACUCACAACCAGCCUAGAUGACAUCUCGGAACAAAUGGAACAAUUUGGAAGCCCAAACUACAAAUGGAAAGACUGACAACCAGCCUGGACUACGUCUAGGAUCAAAUGGAACAAUUUGGAAAUUUUGAUACAGAAUGAUGGGAAAUUCUUCUACGAAGCAUUUGAGGUGCUCCACCACGGAAUCGAGCACCUUUUGACGGAGAUAUAGGCAUUGCUGGCCCUGAACUGAUACAUGAACUUAUCCAACUUAUACAUUUCUGGUGACAGGAUAGCCGGAUGCAGAACAACUAUUAUAAUGGAUCAACGCUUUAACCCCGUAAAAUCAUCCCUCACAAGGCAAGGAAAUCCUUACCUAUCGGCCGUCGAAUUUGCAAUCGGAGAACCAACGGGACCGCUGAUAGACUUGGAACAUUAUUUAGCGUUUAAGACAAUUUUAAGCAUAUCCCUCAAAAUUUCCCUGAUCUCCAAUACUUCGGAUAUACGCGUUUCAGACGAUUCUAAAAAUUUCCCUCAAAAUUUCCCUGAUCUCCAAUACUUCGGAUAUACGCGUUUCAGACGAUUCUAAUAAAAU
rnacentral:sRNA from 1 species